GCGAGUGUGGCUUAAUAGGGAAUCAGGUACACCUUGCCGGUUUAGACCCGGUAGCUUUGGGAGUUCGAGUCUCCCCACUCGUACCA
rnacentral:tRNA from 1 species